UACGUAGGUGGCAAGCGUUGUCCGGAUUUACUGGGCGUAAAGCGUGCGCAGGCGGUUGUGCAAGACAGAUGUGAAAUCCCCGGGCUUAACCUGGGAACUGCAUUUGUGACUGCACGGCUAGAGUACGGCAGAGGGGGAUGGAAUUCCGCGUGUAGCAGUGAAAUGCGUAGAUAUGCGGAGGAACAUCAAUGGCGAAGGCAGUCCCCUGGGCCUGUACUGACGCUCAUGCACGAAAGCGUGGGGAGCAAACAGG
rnacentral:rRNA from 1 species